AUUUUGCUAAAGUCCGGAUUACUUUACCAUAGUUUCGGUAUGUUACCCCUCUCUUGCAUUUCUCUAAAAUAAUUACAAAUUGCUUCGCUGUCGCCUUCACCAAGUCGUAACCGGCGGACUUUUUCAAUAUAAUUACGAGCGUCCUUCUCUCCAAAUGUUAAGUUUUCAUACCCACCAGCCUCAACAGCAAUAGAAUUAAAACUUUUAUUCAAUUUAAUUCCAGCACGAUCAUUAAGAUCAAGCCGCCUCUUGACACUUCAAUCUAUAAUUCGAUUGCAA
rnacentral:lncRNA from 1 species